AUGGAGCAUGGGCUGAGCUGGCUGCUCCUCCUGGCUCUUCUAGGGGGCGGUGUCCAGUGUGCGAAGAAGCUGGUGGAGUCUGGGGGAGACUUGAUGCAGCCUGGAGGGUCUCUCAGACUCUCCUGUGCAGCCUCCGCAUUCACUUUCAGCAAUUAUGCCAUGAGCUGGGUCCACCAGGCCCCAGGGAAGGGCUUUCAGUGGGUUGCAGGCAUCAGUAGCAAUGGUGGUAGCACAAACUACGCGGACUCCGUGAAGGGCCAAUUCACCAUCUCCAGAGACAACGGCAAGAACUCGCUGUAUCUGCAGAUGAACAGCCUGAAGCCCGAGGACACGGCCUUGUAUUACUGUGUGACAGGCACAUGUGAUUACUUUGAUAUAUGGGGCCAAGGCACCAUGGUCACCGUCUCCUCUGCGAGCCCGGCCGCCCCCAGUCUCUACCCCCUGGUGUCCUGUGACAGCCACAUGCCCGAGGACAGCCAAAUGGCCAUGGGCUGCCUGGCCCGCGACUUCCUGCCCGAGUCCAUCACCUUCUCCUGGAAAUACAUGAACGACACCUCGGUGAACAGCCAGGCUGUGAGGAAGUACCCAGUGCUGGGGGUCGGGGGCAAGUACAUGGCCUCCUCCCAGCUGCUUCUGCCAUCCAUGGACCUGAUACAGGCCAAGGACGCCUACGUGGUGUGCCAUGCCGAUCACCCCAAGGGUGAUCGUAGCGUGAACGUGCCCUACAACACAGGGUUCCCAGCGCAGUCCCCCAAAGUGGACAUCUACAUCCCACCCCGCGACGCCUUCUCCAGCAAUGGCACCAACCCACGCACGUCCCAGCUGGUCUGCCAGGCCACAGGCUUCAGCCCCAAGAAGAUCAAGGUGUCCUGGCUGCGGGAAGGGAAGCAGCUGCAGUCAGGCUUCACCACCGGCCCCGUGGAGACCGAGCGCCAGGGCUCCAGGCCCCCCACCUUCAGCAUCACCAGCAAGCUGACCAUCACGGAGACCGACUGGCUCAACCAGUACGUGUUCACCUGCCAGGUGGAGCACAAUGGGCUGACCUUCCGGAAGAACGUGUCCUCCGUUUGCACCGUCGUCACCAACAGCAUCCAGGCCUUCCUUCUCCCGCCGACGUUCACCAGCAUGUUCCUCGACAAGUCAGCCAAGCUGACCUGCCUGGUCACAGACCUGUCCAACUACGACAGCCUGAGCAUCAACUGGACACGCCAGAACGGCGAGGCUCUGAAGACCCACCUCAACAUCUCCGACAGCUACCCCAACUCCACCUUCAGCGCCACGGGCCAGGCCACCGUGUGCAUAGAGGACUGGCAGUCCGGGGAGGAGUUCACGUGCACCGUCACCCACACGGACCUGCCCGCCCCGCUCAAGAAGACCAUGUCCAAGCCCAAGGGUAGGCCCCCCCACCCGCCCGCCGUGUACGUGCUGCCGCCGGCCAGGGAGCAGCUGGCCCUGCGGGAGUCGGCCUCCAUCACCUGCUUCGUGACCCGCUUCGCACCCGCCGACGUGUUCGUGACCUGGCAGCACCGCGGGCAGCCCGUGGAUGCCAGCAAGUUCGUGACCAGCUCCCCGAUGCCCGAGCCCCAGUUCCCUGGCUCCUACUUCGUCCAGAGCGUGCUGACCGUGAGCGAGGAGGAGUGGAGCGCCGGGGAGGUCUUCACCUGCGUGGUCGCCCACGAGGCGCUGCCGCACUCUGUCACCGAGAAGACCGUGGACAAGUCCACCGGUAAACCCACCCUGUACAACGUGUCCCUGGUCCUGUCCGACACGGCCGGCACCUGCUACUGAGCCGGCCCGGGCCUGCGCACGCAGCGCUGGCAUCCCGGGGGUCGCGGUCCGCAAAAUGAGAAAUAAAAA